GACGAACGCUGGCGGCGUGCUUAACACAUGCAAGUCGUACGGUAAGGCCCUUUCGGGGGUACACGAGUGGCGAACGGGUGAGUAACACGUGAGUAACCUGCCCACAACUUUGGGAUAACGCUAGGAAACUGGUGCUAAUACUGGAUAUGUGCUCCUGCUGCAUGGUGGGGGUUGGAAAGCUCCGGCGGUUGUGGAUGGACUCGCGGCCUAUCAGCUUGUUGGUGGGGUAGUGGCCUACCAAGGCGGCGACGGGUAGCCGGCCUGAGAGGGUGACCGGCCACAUUGGGACUGAGAUACGGCCCAGACUCCUACGGGAGGCAGCAGUGGGGAAUAUUGCACAAUGGGCGCAAGCCUGAUGCAGCAACGCCGCGUGCGGGAUGACGGCCUUCGGGUUGUAAACCGCUUUCAGCAGGGACAAAGCUUUUUGUGACGGUACCUGCAGAAGAAGCACCGGCUAACUACGUG
rnacentral:rRNA from 1 species